UUUAAAUGUCCAUUGAAAUGCAACCUUGAAUUGGUUUUCGUUAUUCUCACUACGUAAUCACUAACACGCCACGUAAUCGACAACACUUAAAACAGGUUUCAGACUUGAGGAUUCUUUACUGCGCAAUGGAAAAGAUACGACAGAUUUACAUCAUCGAAAACUUUCUAUCGAAUGCAGUGUAUAUACAAUUGUUAUGGAGCUGGGGAGGAUAUGCGAAACAUGGCUGUGAUCCUUGGAUUCCUCAUUUUGCUUUCAAUUUUCUUUCAUUUGAUCUUAUGGUUGAUUAAUAACGACAUUAGUAACUGUUCUAUUGUUUUUACAUUUUUUGUUGCCGUGUUAGACAUGUGCAACCAAUUGUGCUUAGAUGUCAAGGUUUUGCGUUCAAAAAGGGUAAACCUAACAUGGUUUCAUGUAAUGAAAGUUGUAAUCCAAAGUUACAAGACCUUGGAAUUCUCCACAAAAAUUAAAGAUGUAUGGGGUAUAUAUGAAAACCAAAAGCUUAGACCAAAUUUAUGUGUAGAAUUGUCAUCUUACUUGGCGAGACUUGUAUGUUUCGGAACAUUUUUCAUAUGUGUCAUAGGUGCCGGGAGAAAAUUGUUUUAAAUGCUGUUGAGCUUUCCAAAUUAACAUUUUCGUGAUAACUUCGGAUAAAUAUUUUGCCAGUAUAUUAUGCAUUUGCAUCUGCACAUCCACGUCCAUUUUUUAAGAUAAUUGAAUGGCAUAUUAGAUAAUAUAUUUCAUGUGUAAAAGAGAUGCAUAUGAAUAACACACGAGUUUGAAACGAUGUAUGAGAUUGAUCACUGUUCGUUAUCUUCACCUUGCAUUGCAAAUAAAAAUAAAAACCAGAACUCAAAAUUCAAUUCUCGUAAUGGAACAUACUUGGAUGUCUUAAGAGCAGUUUAUUUCAAAAAGUAAACAUUUCGAAAAUAUUGUAACAUAAACUAAAUUUUCACAGUAACCGUUCACAAAUUUCAAAUAAUUUACAUGUUUAUAGAUAUAGCACACUGAUUUUGACUACGGAUAACUCCGUUUACUUGAUCGGGAUAUAGGGCUCACGGCGGGCGUGACCGGUCGACAGGGGAUGCUUACUCGUCCUAGGCACCUGAUCCAACCUCUGGUGUGUCCAGGGGUCCGUGUUUGUCCAACUAUCUAGUUUGUAUUGAUUUUAGGAGUUAUGAGAUUGAUCACUGUUGGUUAUCUUCACCUUUCAUAAGGAAUUCAUCGACUAUAUUCAAAGACGAAAACAAAACAUUCAUAAAGCGCACCUUUUCAAUAUAAUACAGCGAAAUGUCAUUGAGGGGGUAGCAUUUUGGGCACACCAGAAACGCAAUGCAUAUCACAAUUAGUACGCCCAAAUGUAUUUUAUUCAGCUUCAUUUUCAAUUCAAAGAGCAAUCGUAAUUUACCCCAUAUUCAGUUUCAAUUAGCUUCGUAUUUUUUUGUUGGUAGUUUUUUUUUUAUUGUUUUUUGUUGUUCUGUUUUUCAAUUGUGUGUUCUUUUGUUUAUCUACACAUUUAUGUAUUUUCAGAGAUAUUUUUAAAAGUCUGGGCCGAUUUUUACUAAAGGUCAAAACGUAGCCGUAAACCUACACGUAAACGUAACUUUCGAUCUUUAGUGUGUUUUACUAAAAAGGUUUAGAAAUUACCAGAAAAAUACAGAUGCUUUAAUACUGGUAUAUAUCUACACGUAACGUUUAGGAUUGCACGAAAAGAUCAAAUGAAUUGAUAACUGAGAGGGAAUUAUAAGAUAUACGAGAUCAAAAAUGUGGUCUUGAUGAAAUAACUAUUAAUUGUGACAAGAUGCUUAUCACUGUUCUAUCUUCAAAGUGUUCCAAAACAGGAAGUAGAUCCAACUAUGAAAAUAGAAGAAGUAAUACAGAAAAAAAUAUCUAUGGAAAGAAGUUGGACUCGAACUUUACCCCAAAGACAUAUCCUGAUUGAGAUUAUUAAUUUCGAUAGAUUUUCUCACACGUAUAUAUAACAUAUAUUUCAAACAUGCAUGCUCUGUUCUACGGGGAAAAUGAAGAAAAAUGAGAUUUAUCACUGUUUGUUAUCCUCACCUUCCACGAUAUCGAAUAUAGUAAAUUUAUAAUAAAUAAAAUCGGAUUUAUAUCUAUUGUAGAGCACUUGAUUCUCAUCGAAAAACACAAAUAUCUGUCUAUGAUGAAUUGUUAUUUAUAUUGAUCUUAAACCAUUGAAACAAAGUAUAAAUUGGUCUACCGCACGACAAGAGAAAACAAUACAUUUUAUUCCAAUAUUACCAUGAUUUAGGUACCUACAGUUUGUAAAGAACAGCAAGUGUAAUAAUUGCAAAUGUACAAGUCAUAUAUAUACUCUCCUAUUUCUCAAAAACAUAUGAAAGAAUUCUAGUCGUAAGGUACGUCAAAACUCACGAUCAAUUACGGGCGCACUACGCCCUUUGGUAAAGCGGAGUAUCCAGACCCUAAAAUCAUUCUAAAGCCUACGUUAAAGUCUGUGUCUACAACAAAUUUUACGACCUUUAAUAAAACUCGGUCCUGUACAAUGCUGAGGCAAUCAUUUUUGAAUCUUGAAUUCUAAAUGUACAUUUUUGCUUUCAUAUAGAUUUCAAUUUUCAAAACAGUAAAUUAUUUACAAACUUUGACUACCAAUAAUUAGCAUUGUGUGUGUAAAUAACAAAUAAUAAACUACUUCGCAAGGA